GACGAACGCUGGCGGCGUGCUUAACACAUGCAAGUCGAACGGAAAGGCCCUGCUUUUGUGGGGUGCUCGAGUGGCGAACGGGUGAGUAACACGUGAGUAACCUGCCCUUGACUUUGGGAUAACUUCAGGAAACUGGAGCUAAUACCGGAUAGGAGCUCCUGCUGCAUGGUGGGGGUUGGAAAGUUUCGGCGGUUGGGGAUGGACUCGCGGCUUAUCAGCUUGUUGGUGGGGUAGUGGCUUACCAAGGCUUUGACGGGUAGCCGGCCUGAGAGGGUGACCGGCCACAUUGGGACUGAGAUACGGCGCAGACUCCUACGGGAGGCAGCAGUGGGGAAUAUUGCACAAUGGGCGGAAGCCUGAUGCAGCAACGCCGCGUGCGGGAUGACGGCCUGCGGGUUGUAAACCGCUGUCGCCUGUGACGAAGCGUGAGUGACGGUAAUGGGUAAAGAAGCACCGGCUAACUACGUG
rnacentral:rRNA from 1 species